GUUGCCAAACACGAGUACAGCUGCUCUUAAUGUUGCACGUUAAUCAUAUAAACGUUCUGUUGUGUUGCCGUGUGCGUUAUUGAAAACAAAACCACACACACACACACACACACACACACAAACACCCCCCACUUAAACACACAAAGAACACAUACCAUUGCAAGCAACAAGCACUUUAUUCACCUGCUGGAACUGGAUUUCAAUAAAUCUGUUGAACGAAACCAAAGGUUGCAGCGACUCUCUUACCGGAGUACAUAGCCAGUUCGGGUAGCAGCCAGCGAAUAAUGCACACGGACUUCACAGGUAGUAUAAUACCAGUGGAGAUCACAAAAGGAGGAGAUCGCGGGGGUGCGACACACACACACACAGACACACACACACACACUUUAAGACACACCUCUUUUGUUGCUGGGGACAGUGGCAGACACACAGAAAGUAACCCCUGCCUUGAAGUGCAUUUGUUGUUUGACUUAAAUCGACAGCUGUUGAAGUGGCAUACAAUGGACGGACCUGACAGGCAAAUCAUUUACUGCCUUAAAUGCAAAAAGCCGUAUGGAAACUUGUCCACGCAUAUGAGAAAGGUCUGCAUGAAAAAAGACACGGAGGAAAUGCGGAAA